rnacentral:rRNA from 1 species
GAUGAACGCUGGCGGCGUGCCUAAUACAUGCGAGUCGAACGCUGAAGGAGGAGCUUGCUCUUCUGGAUGAGUUGCGAACGGGUGAGUAACGCGUAGGUAACCUGCCUGGUAGCGGGGGAUAACUAUUGGAAACGAUAGCUAAUACCGCAUGACAACAGUUAUUGCAUGAUAACUGUUUAAAAGGGGCAACUGCUCCACUACCAGAUGGACCUGCGUUGUAUUAGCUAGUUGGUGAGGUAACGGCUCACCAAGGCGACGAUACAUAGCCGACCUGAGAGGGGGAUCGGCCACACUGGGACUGAGACACGGCCCAGACUCCUACGGGAGGCAGCAGUAGGGAAUCUUCGGCAAUGGACGGAAGUCUGACCGAGCAACGCCGCGUGAGUGAAGAAGGUUUUCGGAUCGUAAAGCUCUGUUGUAAGAGAAGAACGAGUGUGAGAGUGGAAAGUUCACACUGUGACGGUAUCUUACCAGAAAGGGACGGCUAACUACGUG